rnacentral:rRNA from 1 species
AGCGAACGCUGGCGGCAGGCCUAACACAUGCAAGUCGAACGGAUCCUUCGGGCUUUUUGGCGGACGUGUGAGUAACACCUGGUAACUUGCCCUUUGGUUCCGUACCCCUCACUGAAACUUGAGCUAAUACCGCAUGUGCUCUUCGGGGGUAAGAUUUAUCGCCAUUGGAGCGGGCCGCGUCAGAUUAGCUGGUUGGUGAUGUAACGGCCCAUCAAGGCGUCGUUCAUUAGCUGGUCUGAGAGGAUGAUCAUCCACACUGGGAUUGAGACACAGCCCAGACUGCGACGGGAGGGAGGAGUGGAGAAUAUUGCGCAAUGGGCGAAAGCCUGACGAAGCCAUGCGGCGUGAAUGAGGAAGGGCGUAGGAUAGUAAAAUUCUUUCAGAGGGGACGAGAAUGACGGUACUCGCAGAAGAAGCACCGGCUAACUUCGUG